UUGGUUUGUCCUAAGUCAAACUUGAUAAAUUUUGAUCAAGCUUAUAUAAAAAUAUAACAACAACUAUACUACCAAAUAUACGUACUAUCAAAACAUAUUACAUGAUGGAUUCUACGGAACAAAUUUGGUAUUAUAGAUGUUGUUAUAUUUUUUUUAUAAACAUGGUCAAAGUUGAAUAAGUUUGACUUAGGAUAAAUCAAA
rnacentral:pre_miRNA from 1 species